GGGCGACAGCCUGAUCCAGCCAUGCCGCGUGCAGGAAGACUGCCCUAUGGGUUGUAAACAGCAUUUAUACGGGAAGAAACACCCCCUCGUGAGGGGGCUUGACGGUACCGUAUGAAUAACGAUCGGCUAACUCCGUGCCAGCAGCCGCGGUAAUACGGAGGAUCCAAGCGUUAUCCGGUAUCAUUGGGUUUAAAGGGUCCGUAGGCGGGUUAAUAAGUCAGUGGUGAAAGUCUGCAGCUGAACUGUAGAAUUGCCAUUGAUACUGUUAACCUUGAGUAAUUAUGAAGUGGUUAGAAUAUCUAGUGUAGCGGUGAAAUGCAUAGAUAUUACAUAGAAUACCGAUUGCGAAGGCAGAUCACAAAUAAUUUACUGACGCUGAUGGACGAAAGCGUAGGUAGCGAACAGGAUUAGAUACCCUCGUAGUCUACGCCGUAAACGAUGGUUACUAGCUGUUUGGUCUAAUUAAGGACUGAGUGGCUUAGCGAAAGUGAUAAGUAACCCACCUGGGGAGUACGUUCGCAAGAAUGAAA
rnacentral:rRNA from 1 species